rnacentral:ncRNA from 2 species
ACCUUUGCCCCAGAUUUUGGUGACAGACUCGGCUACCGCCGAUGAUGUCUUAAAAGGGAAUCAGGUGUAAAACCUGAGCUGUUCCCGCAACUGUUAUCUUCCAUUACAAGCUGCCCACCGCAUGCCACUGUCUGUUCACCAGAUGGGAAGGCCGGCCAGCCGAAGAGAGCCAGGAGACCUGCCAACGUCCACAAUUCACC